UACCAGCUCUUCGAGUGGUGUGGAUGUUUAUUGGGCCUAAAGCAUCCGUAGCUGGCUGGGCAAGUCCCCUGUUAAAUCCACCGAUUCAAUCGUUGGAGUGCGGGGGAUACUGCUCGGCUAGGGGACGGGAGAGGCAGACGGUAUUUUCGGGGUAGGGGUGGAAUCCUAUAAUCCCGGGAAGACCACCAGUGGCGAAGGCUGUCUGCUAGAACGUGCCCGACGGUGAGGGAUGAAAGCUGGGGGAGCGAACCGGAUUAGAUACCCGGGUAGUCCCAGCUGUAAACGAUGCAGGCUAGGUGUUUGGACGGCCACGUGCCGUUCUAGUGCCGCAGGGGAGCCGUUAAGCCUGCCGCCUGGGGAGUACGGCCGCAAGGCUAGAAACUUAAAGGAAUUGGGCGGGGGAGCACCACGAAGGGGUGAAGCUUGCGGUUU
rnacentral:rRNA from 1 species